GAAGACCACAGUUUCCUGUCGCGUGGAUGUGUUUCCUCUCUGGCCAUUGCCAUCCGCCCAAAUCUACAGACAUCCCGCAUGUUCCCGGGCUCGUCUCCCCAAUACAGGGCACCAAGGCUGUAGACUGCGCAGCCCUCCUGGAGACAGAUGGAAGCUCCUUGGGUCGACAGAUUACAGCUUCUGGAACCCCCUACUCCCUUCAACUCCGAGAUGGACACCCACUGUCCAGGGAGAGGAUGCCUGGAAAUAACAGCUGGGAUCUACAGUGGCCAAAGAGUUGUCUCCGUCUUGCUACAUCGACAAACUGGUGCUCCUGAGUGAGGAUUGUGCCCUGGGAUGGGGGAUUCAGUUUCUUCAUUUAUAGUUGGAAGUGGGUGAAGUGCCAGGAGCGACGGUACACUCCAGAGUGCUGUGCCCUGAUGGGCCUUUGAGUGGCCAGUGCAGUGGAUCAUCAGCCCUGUCUCCCAAGAGCUCCAGUCCCUUCUCCGGAGAGGAAGUGGGUCCACUGGCAGCUCAGGAGGCCAUAGCAGCCUUACGGAAGUGUGGGUGGCGCUUUCUGGAAGCUGCACAAGUCAGUGCUGGGUCUUCGCAACUUGGUGUUCUGUUUCCAGAAACUUGGGGUGUUUGCAUGUGCUAGGUCAGCACAGAUUUCCAAAGGAUCUCUAGCUAAUAGCUGUGUCUUGGUUCCUGGUGAGAUCUUGGUUGACUCGGGGGUCCUGAGUGUGGCUUGUCUCUGCAGGAUUGUCACGUGUGCUCAACAGUCCUCCUCGGCUUUCCAGAAGAGGCUGGAACAGGGCCCUUGAAGAUGUUUGUGGACAUCAGAGGGCCAAAGACGACACAAAGUGAAACUGGAGACACCGCCCCCCCUUGGCAUCAUGAAACUGCCGAUGUUACUGGCUCAUGCAUGGGAGACACCAGCAUACAAAGUCUUGACACCAACACCUCAGAGGGCUGUGUUCUGUCCCCGUGACCAUCAUCUAGUGCCUGGAAAGACUAGUGACAAGAACUUGUUGCCAACUUCCUAUUACCUCCCUAACAGUUGUGCAAUAAACCCCAUAGGUUAA
rnacentral:lncRNA from 1 species